rnacentral:rRNA from 1 species
UACGAAGGGGGCGAGCGUUGUUCGGAUUUAUUGGGUUUAAAGGGUGCGUAGGCGGUUAAUUAAGUCAGUGGUGAAAUCCUGGAGCUCAACUUCAGAACUGCCAUUGAUACUGGUUGACUUGAGUACAGACGAGGUUGGCGGAAUUGAUGGUGUAGCGGUGAAAUGCAUAGAUACCAUCAAGAACACCGAUUGCGAAGGCAGCUAACUAGGCUGUAACUGACGCUGAGGCACGAAAGUGUGGGGAUCAAACAGG